GAUGAACGCUGGCGGCGUGCUUAACACAUGCAAGUCGAGCGAGUGAGUUCUUCGGAACGAUCUAGCGGCGGACGGGUGAGUAACACGUGGGCAACCUGCCUCAUAGAGGGGAAUAGCCUCCCGAAAGGGAGAUUAAUACCGCAUAAAAUUAUCGAGUGGCAUCACAUGAUAAUCAAAGGAGUAAUCCGCUAUGAGAUGGGCCCGCGGCGAAUUAGCUAGUUGGUGAGGUAACGGCUCACCAAGGCGACGAGGCGUAGCCGACCUGAGAGGGUGAUCGGCCACAUUGGGACUGAGACACGGCCCAGACUCCUACGGGAGGCAGCAGUGGGGAAUAUUGCACAAUGGGGGAAACCCUGAUGCAGCAACGCCGCGUGAGUGAUGAAGGUCUUCGGAUUGUAAAGCUCUGUCUUUGGGGACGAUAAUGACGGUACCCAAGGAGGAAGCCACGGCUAACUACGUGCCAGCAGCCGCCGUAA
rnacentral:rRNA from 1 species